UACGUAGGUGGCAAGCGUUGUCCGGAUUUACUGGGCGUAAAGAGCGCGCAGGCGGUCGAAUAAGUCGAAUGUGAAAGCCCCCGGCUCAACUGGGGAGGGUCAUUCGAUACUGAUCGACUCGAAGGCAGGAGAGGGUAGUGGAAUUCCCGGUGUAGUGGUGAAAUGCGUAGAUAUCGGGAGGAACACCAGUGGCGAAGGCGGCAUUCUGGACCACAACUGACACUGAGAGACGAAAGCCAGGGGAGCAAACGGG
rnacentral:rRNA from 1 species